UCCUACGGGAGGCAGCAGUGGGGAAUCUUAGACAAUGGGGGCAACCCUGAUCUAGCCAUGCCGCGUGAGUGAUGAAGGCCCUAGGGUCGUAAAGCUCUUUCGCCUGUGAAGAUAAUGACGGUAGCAGGUAAAGAAACCCCGGCUAACUCCGUGCCAGCAGCCGCGGUAAUACGGAGGGGGUUAGCGUUGUUCGGAAUUACUGGGCGUAAAGCGCGCGUAGGCGGACUAUUAAGUCGAGGGUGAAAUCCCGGGGCUCAACCCCGGAACUGCCUUCGAUACUGGUAGUCUUGAGUUCGAGAGAGGUGAGUGGAAUUCCGAGUGUAGAGGUGAAAUUCGUAGAUAUUCGGAGGAACACCAGUGGCGAAGGCGGCUCACUGGCUCGAUACUGACGCUGAGGUGCGAAAGUGUGGGGAGCAAACAGGAUUAGAUACCCUGGUAGUCCACACCGUAAACGGUGAAUGCCAGUCGUCGGGUAGCAUGCUAUUUGGUGACACACCUAACGGAUUAAGCAUUCCGCCUGGGGAGUACGGUCGCAAGAUUAAAACUCAAAUGAAUUGACGG
rnacentral:rRNA from 1 species